UCGGUUGCAUACGAAGGAGGUUUGUGUGUUUGUAUGUCUGGCACCUGAGGUAGGGUACCCGCCACUGCCUGUUUGCACCGGACCCGUCAGUAAACACAGCAGGUGCUUGUUAGGUGCGACUCACCGGCUCAGUGUGGCCACAUUUUGCCGAGAACAUUUUAAACAUGGGGGAUUCGGGGGAUUGAUGAUGCGCCGCUCAGAUUGUAGGCUGCGGCAGCGCCGAGGCGGACAUGGCUGCUGAAGCCGUUUCGGUAUCUCUCUCCCCGUCUCUCCGCCGCCAUUUACCCAUGAAAUGACUCCUGAGCAGAUCAGAAUGUACCGAUACCCUCUAAUUAACUGGUCUCUUAGAUAUGAGCGAUCAUAUGUCUUGCUUUUAGCAGAUAAUAUUUCAUAAUUCCAAAAACAUGCGCCACAAAUACACCGAUUUGUAUGACUUUUACAUUUUUACAUGUACAUAAUGCGCACACGCAAAACCUUUCUCAUUAAUCUGCUGAUUCUCAAACAAAAAAUAGACUGAAUUCCAGAUUGAUUUUCUCGGGUCGUUAAAUUGAUUGUUUGUCUAUGUGGAAUAAAAAUGUGGACUUAUCACAGACAACCAACAUAAUCAUAGGAAUAAACGCGCACACAGUUGUAGUUAAUGUGACUCUCAGCCCCAGCAACGAUCGGUCUUUAAAAUAAUUCCAUCACAAUGUCUAUUUAUAGCCUAAUCUUACUGUUAAUAAAAUGACGUUUGCGUAGGCUAUGACUCGCGCUCGCUUUGUUCUCUGCAUUUGACGAAUUAGUGACGAUCUUCUGAAGCUCAAUUAAAAUCACUUUUAAUAAAUCCCAUCCAUUAAUAGUUCGACGCGCGCGCAAAACGCAGCCGCGGUUGCGCAACCUGUCGCUCGUCUCACGUGAAGUGAAUCGCGCAGUUUCUAAAAAUAGACCUCACCGGUGACCGACUCAAGGACUGCAGGCGCGCCCCCGUAUCCAGCACAGAUCGUCCUAUUUAUAGAGGGGAGACUUCACUUUUAGCCCCCCUCCCCAAAUAGAUGUGUGCUAUGUGCUUGACGAGUGGACCACAUCUGGAUCUGCGCCGCUGUCCACACACACACACACACACACACACACACACACACACACACACACACACACACACACACACACACACACACACACACACACACACACACACACACACUGCGCGCGCGCUUCAUCAAGGCAAAUUACGAUCAGAUUUCCCACUGUUGUUCUCUAUCUUGAACUAUUUCACUUUGCUCAGCGUUUAACGGGACGGGAGGGGUUUGAACAAUGGCAAACAUGUUCCCAUGAAGUUGAAUGGAGAGAACGUUCUGGUACACAGUGUCUUCACGGUUGAUUUUGAAGUGGCUCUAGGGAAAUGUACAGUCAGCUGCUGGUGUAUAUGGUCCAUUUAACUGGCAUAUCAUCAUACUGUCAUAAUGUCCAGCAGAGGUGCUGAUUGAGCUCAGUUUUAACGUUGGAGGAGGCUGCAGGUUGUAUCAGUGCAUGUCAUUUAUGUCAGUAGGAUGAGGUUAAAAGCAUAAGCACUUGUUACACAGCUCACUCCGCAGCAUCACGUCCUCCGAUUGAAUCUGCGCCUGUGAAAAAACAACAUCUAAGGUUUUCUUAAGCAUGAGUUUUUCUUAAGGUUUAAUACUCAUCAGGAUCUUUAUUACACAAUGAGAAUGAAAUCAAUUCAAUGGAAUAUUGCCCCCCCAGAUUCAUAUUUUUGAAUUGCAGACAGCGGCCCAUUGGUGAAUCAUCCUGUUUCUUCUCUGGGACCUUCACUGCUGUGUCUGAUUUUCCAGCUGUAUUCUGCUGCUCAGGUUCUUGUGGAGCUGCCUCUGCCUCACACUGCUUGUGGUUUUCUCUUGGAUGACUCAGCCGUCUCCUCCCCCCGUGGCUGUAUUUUCAUCACUCCGUCCCUCUGGGCUAAUGACCCACAGAUUGUCCCCUUACACCCGUGUGAUUCCCGCUCCUUAUCAGUUUGCUUUAUCACAAACGUCACCCCAACACGUGUCCGAUAGGAAAUCAACAAAAUAUUCAUGGUUCUCAGAGGAUAGAUCCUAAAAUUAAUUAAUACUUACAACCAUGAAAUGUGCACAUGUGCAUGUCUUUCAUUUUAUUAAAUAUAAUGGCCUAUUAUGUCACAAAGCAUCAUAAAUUUGGAGAUAGUUCAUAAUAGUGGAACUAAACUAUUGAUUUUAAAUGUUUUCCCAAAUUCUAUAAAUUAUUUGAUCCCUGUGAGCAGUGAAUCACUGAAUCGCAUGCAGCAUCUCUCCCCUUCACCCAUGGUUAAUAAACGCUGUGAGCUUUUCAAGUACAUCAUGGGUUUGCAGAGUAAAGUGGCCCUUAAUGACUGCUUGUUGUUUGAAGAGAGAACCUCGAGUCUGAUCUGAAUCUCAUUUUCGCUGGUGACUAAACACUCUCACUUCCUUCAAGAUCGUCGCCCUUCGGUGUAAAAAAAGCACCGUUUCCAGACGUUCCACGGGCAAAAAUAGCGCACGUCUUUAUGCGGGCGCUCCCAGAGCGCGAACACUCAAAGUUGUUUGUUCUAUUCCAACCAGCCGUCUCGUAGGUACUUAAGCUGUCCCACACACUCUGUUGUCUGCAGCGCUGCUGUUGUCAUGAUAAUCCCUGUCAUUAUGAAGCGGGGUUGUGUCGGUAUCAUGGGUGGGUGGCUCAGAGGCGCGCGGCAGUGGAGAGGCGGACGGGUGAAGAGCGAGGGGUCGGAGGGACGAGUGUCGCGUCUCCUUGACAGCAAAUGGACUCAAAUAAAUCCAAUUAGCGAGUCGUCUUUGUGCCAGGACCUCCCGCUCGCCUCACUAUUCAUGCGUCGGCUCAUUCGGGCCUACGUAUCCCCCUCCUCAGUACAAUCGCUCAAUCAGGCGCAUUCACUCCCUCAUUUUCAUAAUUACUGGUGUAUUUUUACUUGACAACUCAUUUUGUUGCAAGUUCACUCGCUAAUUCAAUCAUUUGUUCACCGAGACACAAUUGUACCUUAAUCCUAAGACCUGUCUGGCCCCGGUGUAAUUUAAAUGGUGGCACCUGCCUUUGUGAGUUAUAAUAUUUAAUCUAAUAAGAAGCGUCUCUCUUUCUCUGACAGAUGGUGCCAAUUAGCUCAAUCCACAUGUGCUGUGUUACAUGUAUAUAUAUUGAUAUGUAGCUGUGAAAAAGAAGGUAGAGAGAAAGACUAGUUUCAUUCUGAUCAUCACUGACUCCGAUGGGUGGUCCAGUAAAGGAAUCAGAUGAGUACAGGGCCUUCGAUCAUAUGACUGAUGGGUGUAGUCUAAAGUAAGUUUCAGGUUAUUCAUCAGGAUCCGGCCCACAACCGUGUUCUGAUUCAUUCUCACAUUGUUGACCGUGUUGUUUUCUGCACCACAGACGAGCUGCUUUCAGUUUAAACGCUCUCCAACCUGCUGAACAGAGCAAUAAAAUGUUGAGGCAUCCUGCGAAAAACGAUGCUUUUCAGAAUAAAAUGAUGCUCCAGAAAAUGUGGUUACGGAAUCUGGAAGAGGCCCAACGUGCUUGUUUUCACUCGCAUUCACUGCUUCACCCACGUACUGUAAAGCCUCGCCUGCUAUAAAUAUCUGCUCAUUCACAUUCACUCGCUCACUUGGUCACUCGGUCGGCAGCCCCCUCAUUCACUGACAGUUACUUUCUGACACCGCGCCUCACACACACGAGCAGAUGUACAAAGGGCAGGGACUAUUUUGGCCGUGACACACACACACACAUACACACACACACACACACGGAGCUGCGGUCGCCAACAGGUGUGACUUUCACAGCUUCGGCCGUUGGCAGCAAGCGACGCUGCGGAUGAGGGACGAGCAGCAUGUUCCUCCACACCCUUAGUCAUCACAUCACAGGGAACAGGGAGGAUGGAUCAUCGCACUCUGCAGCCGCUCCGCCGUACUGUACUAGAGUCAAGGUCUGCGCUCUGCUUCUUGAAAGGAAGGAGCUAAUCUGUCGCCUAGCAACGCCUCCCACUCCUGCAUCGAAGUGGGAGCAAGAGAGGGAGGAUGCAGUGUAAAGAGGGGAGAUGGAAGAGGAAAAAAAAAAAGAUCGAAAUUUUAGGCGACGCGGGGAGGCAGGGAGCUGACUGGGAGCUGACUGGGAACACUGGGAGCUGGCCGCGGAGGCAAAGAGGUAGUGGUAUCACAUACAGCCGAAUACGACGUAUGUUGAGACAUUCAUAAUGACGACAAGCAGUUUUUUAUUUACCAGUUUACUUAAUUAACAGUGAUGUAAAUGAUGUAAAUGUAAAUCUAAUCCCGCGGCCGCUCUUCCUCGCUGCUACAGCGGGUACUUCAGGUACGGCUCCAGUGUGGAUUUAGACCGUCUCUAUUGUUCCUUCUCCUAAUCCCAGGAUGACUCCACCAUGUUGCUCUGUGGAGGCCAAACCAUCUGUUGUGGGACUCCAUGUUCUUGUUCUCGCCCAAGUUCAGGCUCGUUGUCAUGCCGAAGAAUAAAUUUGGGCCGAUCCCGCGCGUCUGCGCCAUCAGCGGCCUCCGUCCAAACAGAGACGUGCAUAUUCACAUGAAACCUGUUGAAUUUGAGAGUAGUUCACGAGACCAAUGCUCUCCUGUUUAUUCGCCACAGAGCCGCUCACAGGUGUCUCUGAUCUACAGGUGAGUCCUGCUGAAUGGGGCUCCAUCCAGGCUCCUGUCGGGGCCUUUCACACGCUCACGCCAGCUGCGACCAGCUUCACGGCGUGCGCUAGUCCCAUCGAUCCGUGCGCUCUGACGCCUGACGGAUGCGUCGACAGACAGACGCGACCUGUGAAUAUAAAUGGUGCGACACCCACGCGCGCGGCUCCACCCGCGCCCGCGCUCCUCACCCCGCGGCUCCAUCCGCCGCUCCCUGCCUCCUUCUCCGGGUUCGGCUUUGUGAGCCGGCAGCCUUGGACCUUUUCUCUCCACUUUUCAAUAUCCAGUUUAUUUUUAGUAGCCGGGGCCACGGAGCGAGGGGCAGAAGUUUUUCACCAGUGCUCUUUAGUUGUGCUCGAGUUCUGUCUCCUCAAGGUCCCUGGAUUAUACUUGGACUCGCAGGAGAACACGGGGACAAUAACGCAGUGAAUAGCCUGAAUGCUUCUAUUGAGCCUGGAGGCUGCGGCGAGAGGCUUAUUUUGCUGCGAGAGCAUCUUAGGUUGGGGUCUGCUGGGCUCAACUAUAAGCUACUGACGUGUAGAAGUAAACAAAUCCUUCCACUGAUUAGUUAACUUCAAUGAUAGUUCAAGUUUCUGUGUAGUGAUGUUUAAAUACUUAAGUAUCUGAAGUAAUAUUCAGAUCAUUAAUUACAGCAAAGCAACAGCUCAUUUCUACUUUGUCACAUUUGUUCAUGUUGUCGAAUGCUUGUGUAGAGCACAGUUGCCUCAUUGUCGUAACUGGAUAGGGAUCAGUUACGUUCCACCACAGGAGAAUCCGCCGCGAGCUGCUUUUCAUCUCCAUCCUCUAAAAAACCCGCAGCAGCUGGAGUCACAGGCCAAAUAUCUGUUUGUCUCCUCUGAUUCACAAAGUGCCUUCCCAGCGUUCUGCUCCCUGGCGCUCGCAUGCCUUUCAGUUUUUCAUUUGUUAUUUUUCUCAGGGCUGGAUGUCUUUUCAGCAUAGGUCCCUUUUUUGCUGUUAUACACCCACACACCCAUAGCAACACAUUGUCGUUUCUUGGUAACCACAUUUACGCAAUGAGUAAAGAAAUUGAAGGUAGAACAGGCACGGAUGAGGUCUAGCUCAGAGCCUUAUAUAAAUCCAUCCAAGGCUCCUGUGAAAGGGGUGAAUGGUGACUUUUCCUCAGGCCUCAGCCCUCGUGUGUUCCACCACCUCCCCUUACGUUUACUUCAGGGAUGCUGGCGUUGUUUUAAGUGCUCCUUAGACCCCCGGUCGCGUGUGCAUCAUCCCGUCUCACACCUGUACAGUCAUAUGUGCAAUUACGCCGCCGAUAAUCGCAGACAUGUGACCCGAUACGUCCGCAGGCCGCGAAUCCCUGCGCACGAUUCCCACAGGGUUGACAGGAGAUUACGCUGACCCGAGGUAGCGAGCGUCCCCAGCAGGCGGCUGGAACUGCACCGGACCGAUAGGCUAAUUAUUUCCUACGGCUGAAGAGUGGACUCCUGCUAGUUACACAUGGAAGCUGUGUGAUGUGGACACGUUCACGUGCUCCAGAACUAAAGUUCCAUAUGAUGUUUGGACAUUCUGUUCAUUGUUGUUGUUGUUCAUACUGAAAUCAGUAAGUAAGUUAUUCUUAUUAAUAGUUAAUAUAAGUGACAAUAUACAGUAUUGAACAUUAUCUAUGCUACACGCCAACUGGAACUAGGUCCCACAUGUAUAUAACACGUAUAUAACACGUUUAUAACAUGUAGUCCGACUUUGAUGCUUAUAUGUAACCGUCUGUUUAUUAAAGCAGUGUGAAUCCAGA